rnacentral:rRNA from 1 species
CCUACGGGUGGCAGCAGUAGGGAAUCUUCCACAAUGGGCGAAAGCCUGAUGGAGCAACGCCGCGUGGGUGAAGAAGGUCUUCGGAUCGUAAAACCCUGUUGUUAGAGAAGAAAGUGCGUGAGAGUAACUGUUCACGUUUCGACGGUAUCUAACCAGAAAGCCACGGCUAACUACGUGCCAGCAGCCGCGGUAAUACGUAGGAGGCAAGCGUUAUCCGGAUUUGUUGGGCGUAAAGGGAACGCUGGCGGUCUUUUAAGUCUGAUGGGAAAGCUUUCGGCUUAACCGGAGUAGUGCAUUAGAGACUGGGAGACGUGAGUGCAGAAGAGGAGAGGGGAACUCCAUGUGUAGCGGGGAAAUGCGUAGAUAUAUGGAAGAACACCAGUGGCGAAAGCGGCUCUCUGGUCUGUAACUGACGCUGAGGUUCGAAAGCGUGGGUAGCAAACAGGAUUAGAUACCCCAGUAGUC